GACGAACGCUGGCGGCGUGCUUAACACAUGCAAGUCGAACGGAAAGGCUCCAGCUUGCUGGAGUACUCGAGUGGCGAACGGGUGAGUAACACGUGGGUAAUCUGCCCUGCACUCUGGGAUAAGCCUGGGAAACUGGGUCUAAUACUGGAUAUGACCUUUCUCCUUAUGGGGUUUGGUGGAAAGUUUUUCGGUGUGGGAUGAGCCCGCGGCCUAUCAGCUUGUUGGUGGGGUGAUGGCCUACCAAGGCGACGACGGGUAGCCGGCCUGAGAGGGUGAUCGGCCACAUUGGGACUGAGAUACGGCCCAGACUCCUACGGGAGGCAGCAGUGGGGAAUAUUGCACAAUGGGCGGAAGCCUGAUGCAGCGACGCCGCGUGAGGGAUGACGGCCUUCGGGUUGUAAACCUCUUUCAGCAGUGACGAAGCGUAAGUGACGGUACCGGCAGAAGAAGCACCGGCUAACUAUGUG
rnacentral:rRNA from 1 species